ensembl:lncRNA
CUGACAGCUCUAUGCCGUUCCCUCGGGCCCUGUCGCCGUCACAGAGAGCAGAGCUCAGCGCUGCCCCUCCACCCCCUGUGAAGCGCUGCAGCCGCCAUGAAGCGUCCCCUCGGCUCCUCUGCUCUGGGCCCAACGAACCGUGUUGAGUCCGCCAGCUCUGGUAUCCAACCUUACCUUCCCCUGGCCUCACAAUUCACGUUUGUUCCCCACUUGGUUCAGCAGAAUCGUAACUUCUGCUUUACAUAAGUGUAUUACCUUGAAAGUGUCACGCAACAUAACCACGCUUUGCUUAUCUCAGUUCUGCAAUAUUUUAUUUAAUCCGAUCCCUUUGCCAGAUGAGAGGUGCUAAAGCUUUCACGUCACCCUCAGAUAUGAAUUUUCUCCAAAGACAGCAAGGUGCUAAAAUUGACUCCUGAGACCUUUACAUUUCAAGAGUGAAGCCUCGGUCCUUUUAACUUCAUGUUUAUAUUCCCCAACAUGGAACCUAAUGCCUUUUAUAUGAAAUGACACGGCCAAGAAACUCUAAGGGGCAGAAGAACCAAAUGAUGGCGGAAGGAACAGCACACAACCCAGGAGCGAUGUGAAAAAUGUUAUUAUUUCUGCUGAAAUGGAGGAAGGUCCACGUGAUACAGCUGCCCAAGAAGGUAGCGUGGAAAUGUGCCCCAGGGUCCGACCCAUCUCGGCGAAGCACGGUCUGAGCGAUUCGGGGCGAGGAGGAUCUGUCUGCAGUACUAGUAUGUCUGUGAACAACUUCUUUCAAGGAUAAGAUACAGGAAGAGUGAAAUAUCUCUCAUCAAAAAUCUGGUGAACAUCUCAAGAACUCAAAAAGAAUUACAACCACUCCCAUUGAACCAGACAGAUGUAUAAGUUUCAGAAAAACAAGGACAAAUAUCCCACUAGUUUUGCAGUUUUCUGGCUUUUAAAAAAAUGUUUUAGUAUGUAAUUGCAAUGGAAUUGCCAGGUCACAGCCUGAACCAAUGGUUGAGCACCAGGUGAGAAGGCUAACCCAGGAGCUCAGGUUCAAGCAAUAUAGCUGAGUGACCAGAACAGGUGAGCCUGGAUCCACUCCUCCUCACCCUCAUUUAAGGAUUAGCAGCUGAGGAAGCAGCUUGUUUCUGGAUGGAUACUGCAUUCUUCUUGAGCUGUCAUUGGAAAGGCUUGGACGGCAACUGUUUGCAUUUCCCUGGUGGAAGCCUCCAGAUGAGACGAGUGCUAAGAAGUGAACUUUUUAUGUUCAGCUGGACAAAUUGUCAUUCCUAUCGAGUGCUCGUGCUUGAGCUACAGAAGGCAUUUGACACCACUGGACUUUAAAGCUCUUUCUGAGGAGUAUCACAACCCGGCCUUGAGAGAUCUGCAGUUUUGGAGUGUUUCAGGUUUUUAAGAGGUACUUCGAUUACAUGAGGUAGUGAGUAAGGAUGAAGUGAAGGAGAAGUAACAAAGAAAGGGCUGCAUAUUUUCUGCUUUACAUGGUCGUGAAUGAGAUCUGCUCUGAGCACCAGGAGCAAUGUUGCCAGAGAUCAGCACACCACCCAGGGGAUGCCAAUUGUAGGUGUGCAGAAAUAAUGGUGUGACUCAAGACUGCUUUGACAGGCAAAUCCAUCUGAAGUCUGGGCAUAUCUAUCUAUUGGCUGGAAAAAAAGUUGAACCGUUUGUGUAAGAAAUAACAAUUCACACAAGUUCCUAACAUGAAUGAGCACAUACAAAGUAUGAAAAACUGUUCUACAGCUUCAAGUGUGACAGCUUGUUCAGCAAGGUGCUACAUAGUAUAAUUGCUCUGUAAAGGGAGUAGAUGUUUUGUCUUUGUUUUACUUUUUAUUGGAUGCUCGAGGUGGUUAUGUAGUCUGCAUCUACUACGCAUUAUGUAUUGGUUACAUGCAGGUACUGCCCAGUUAUGCCUGACCAACUCCUCUUUGCUGUGGUUGUUUCUCUUCCACUCUCCCCACCUUGAAAGCCUCAGACAUCCAAGCCAGAGCUAUUUCAGUAACUGCAGCUAUGCCACUGAAUUGUAACUUUCAUUUUAUGUUGGGGAACUAAUCUGAGAGAUGCCUAAUGAUCCCAGGAGAAGGAUCUCCCAGCACAGCAUAAUCUAAUGGAUAUUUAGAGUGGCAAUCUAGCAGGGACAACAAAUGAAGCAGUGCUGGAAAUCCAUGGUUGCAACAGCAGCUCAAAUUUAAAACGUUUCUGCUCCCUGUAUCUGCAUUUCACACAGCUAUCAGUAUCAGCUUAUUCUGUAAGCUUAGCUGGCUCUUCUCUUCCUCCUCAAAAUCCCUCCCAGAAGCUCCUUGCUGCAGCCCUGUUUGCCAAUUAGCCUCUGCUUCUGUUGUGUGCAGCUAUGGCUUAGGAAAAAGCAGUACUUUUUUUAUUCCAUCUGUGGAACAAACUGCCUUGUGCUUCUGUUCCACCCAAGGGGAGGAUCUUUGGCCCCCUAAAACUGUUUGGCUUCCUUCCACCCAUGACUGUACCAUGGGUGUAGGUCAAACCUGCCAUGCCAUUCUGUUGUUAGCCUACCAACGCAGGGCAUCUGCAUUCCUAGUGACACGUGGUUGAGGAUGUCUGGCAACAUCUUUGCUUCAAAAGCAUGCAACAGACUCAUUACUUUCUCUCCUUCUGGAAAAAUAAAGUCAGGAAAACCUCUUGUUUCACACUGAGCUGUGCAGGAUGUUGGAAGCUCCUUUGAGCCAUCAUCUCACAGGCUGUAUGGCUGCCUUCUUUCUUCUUAAGAGUAACUGGGGACCCUGAAGUGGAGACUGAGUCUCUCCUUUCAUAUGGUUGUAUUGGGUGAAUUACCUACUUUGGAGCCUCAUGGAAGAGGUGUUGUAAAUGAAAGCAGCUUUUGCAUGUUUUAUUUUUCUUCCCAGAAAAGCUCUUACCCAUUUCACACCUGGUCAUUUUCAUGUCCAUAACCUGAAAAACAGUCCAAGUAGCACAUAGUGAACUUCAUUAUUAGCAUACGUGGUAAAUCACAGUGCAAGAGUUAGAUUUGGUUUUGCAAUUGGAAUACAUACAUAUCUAUCCAUAGCUUUAUGGUCUGGACAUUAGAGAAGAAUUCAUCCAGAUGGAUGGAGAAGGGAAAUCACUUGUAAAUUGCAAAUGAAAAUGUCUCAGUCUCUAUAGAUUUGGCACAGAAAUAGGAGCAGUGGGAAAAAGCAGCUUAUUCACCCUUUAAGGUGAAAAGAAAGCAUGUUCCCAAAAUAUAUUAAAUCACAGAUCUAGUCAUAUACUCUUCCAUGUUACAUGAUAGAUUCAUUUCUGUUCUUUUAAAACCAUCCUUUUGUGGUCCAUUAGACCAGCUUACCAACUGGGUUGCUGGUAGGUUAAAUUUGUAGUUGUAAUCUCUUGAUGUUAAAACAAUCUUUUUUCUUGAACUUGCAGGCGCAGAGCCAUGUCUUUCAGUAUGCUACUAUUAGUAGGCAAAGAACUAUAAUUUGCAUAUUGGAAAAUGAAGUGGGGAGAUGUUUAACGUUCACCGUUAGUUUUUAAUUAAGAAAUUAAUACGAUGAGCCAAUAAGACCUUUAAUUCUGUGUCUGUACUAGAUACUGAUACCAAUAAAUUCUUUGUAUUUCUUUUUUGUUAAAACUGUGAGCCGUGUCUCUUUCUCACUGCUGUCAAACAGGCAGUCCUGGAUGCACUAAUGCACCUGAAUGACUUUACUUAGGUGAGUGCUUUAUAUUGAUUGGGAUUGGCACUGGGUUAAUUUGGAGGCUCUGGAGCACUCAGUUGAGAGCUCUUAGGAACAGGA